GUGAUAUUGAAGACCGGCAAGGCAGUCAUCUUCCCUCUGCCAUUCACUGGAGCAAGUGUAGUCAGUGAUGUAGAAGACUGGCAAGGACAGUCAUCUUCCUUCUAUCAUUCAUUGGGGCAAAGAAUUCAGUGACAUCGUC